CUGCAUCUUUGACAGCCUGGACUCUCUGACGUGAGAGAUACUGGGUUUUAAAAAUUCAGAUGCAAUAUAAAAAUGUCCCCGCGCUUUCUGCUCGCCUCUUCCCCAUGGCGUCUCGGAUUGAAUAGGGGAGGAUAAAU